rnacentral:lncRNA from 1 species
GUCAUGAGCAGAAUGUGAGCCCUCAGGCUCUGAAAUCCAGAGAUGGGUGUCUUCUAAUCCAGCUCAUCUGCAGAGCCAGCCACAGCCUGUGUGUCAGGCUGCUUGAUGGUGAAGAGAGCAGUGUGCUCUGUGACCUGGCUGCGACAGGGUGUGCAGGGGAGCUGAGCUCAGCAUGCGUGCUUGCAUGCACGAGUUUUCAAGAAUUCUGGCUCUUCCCCUGGGGAGAAUGCUCUUCGCUCGCCUUUUUCACUUCAGAAGGAAUAAUUACCAAUGUUUGUGGGUUUUCUUCAUUUGAGGAAUUUGAAUGAAAAGCUACACAGGAGUCAUGGCUGGAAUCAACUUUUCAGUAAAGACAAGCCGUCAGAAGAAAAGAUGCAGAUGGAUGUUAUUAGAAAGGUUUUUACUUCGAAGUGCGCGGCUUGUCCACAUGGCUGAGAUUAGUGCUCAAUACUCAUAUAAUGCUUUUCAUCCUCAAAAGGGCUUUUUACAAGCUCCAGCCCCCAAAACACCCCCACAAGGUAGGUGCAUGAGUUUUGUUAUAUGCUUUACAACAAGGAGGGACACAUGUUAG